rnacentral:rRNA from 1 species
UACGUAGGGGGCAAGCGUUGUCCGGAUUUAUUGGGCGUAAAGAGCGUGUAGGCGGUUAGGUAGGUCCGUUGUGAAAACUCGAGGCUCAACCUCGAGACGCCGAUGGAAACCAUCUGACUAGAGUCCGGAAGAGGAGAGUGGAAUUCCUGGUGUAGCGGUGAAAUGCGCAGAUAUCAGGAGGAACACCAAUGGCGAAGGCAGCUCGCUGGGACGGUACUGACGCUGAGGCGCGAAAGCGUGGGGAGCAAACAGG